CCGUAGUUAUAGACUGUAUGGUUAGAGGGCAAUCCAGUUUGUGUAUUGUGUUUAUUGUAUUGUGAGCAUUCAAUAGAUAAAACUAGAAAGAGCGUGACCUUUUUAUGACAACUUUAGAAACCAGGGGUUAAAAGAGACAUUACAAACUGAAGUUUUUGAGAGGAAACCUCAAGAGUAUACUGGGAAGCCAUGGUGGAACAAGUAGAGAGGAAGCCUCAGAAGGAAGGAGCAAUGGUUGAACCACUUGACAUUGUUGCCUACUACAGGGAGGGUGUAAGAAACAACAUAACCGAGGGAAGAUCUGAACGUUAAACGUUGUCCAAUUAUUAUAAAUGUCUUAUACAUUACGUGUGAAAAUACCAAAAAAAAUUAUAUUCAACAUUUAUGUUUGUAUACAAGCAAUAUUUUGGAUAGUUUGAUAUAAAAAACAAAUGAAGAAAAUGAAGAAAAACAUACAAAUAUAUUUACAAUGGACAAACUUAUACAAUUAGUAUAAAUGUCUUGUAUAUUUAGUACAAAUGUCUCGUACUUUGUAAAAAUAUAAAAAUAUAGUAUUUGACUUUUAUAUAUGUGUGAAAAUGUAAAAAGAAAAAGAAAAAUAGUUAGAGCAUUUGGUACCGUGAGUGAUGACUUCACCUAAAGAAAGGUUAAUGAAUAUUAUGGUCUCGAUGGAAGAGCGACUCCGGUAAAAUAUAUGGAUUAAAUUGAUGCUUUUCUUUUGACGAUGAAGUAGUUGAGUUAUGAAUACGAGGUUUUGCUAACAGCAUUGAAGGCAAGGAUUCCCUAAUAUACUCCAAUUCAUAUUCAAUUUGUAGACCUUCAACUAACUACUCUUGCUAACGAGCAUAUCCAAGUCAAUACAUAAGAUUAAUUAAGAUUAAGUAUUACGUAUGAUAAUUGAAACCCUAUUUAAAUAAAUAAUGACACAUAUAUAAAAAAUAUAUAUAUUUUUAAAAAAAUAAAUAACAAUUUAGAGAAUUUCAUAACUUAGCAUCAAACCUAUUGUAAGAAAGAGUAUUAUACAAUGUAGGGUUUAGGAUCCAAGUCAACCUAAGAUCAAAUUUAAGUUUUAAGAUCAAUUCACAUUCAAAACUAAGGUUUUAAGUUUCAAAAAUAUAUUUCUUAAACCAAUUAAAUGGAAAAAAGAAAAUUACAAAGAAAAUUUCUCCCUCAUCAGUUUCUUUUAUCUUGAAAACUAAAGGAAAUAUAUAUCAAUAUUUGAGAUGGAAAUUCAUAAUCUUAGGUGGUGUUUGUUUUUUUGGCUUUUUGCUGAAAACUAUUUAGUUUUAGAAUUUAGGUUUUUUUUUUUUUUUACUUUUUCAUGACUUAUAAUAAACUUUUUACUAAAUAGAAAAAACCAAAAUAUGUGGUUUUUUCUAAAUAGAAAAAAUAACACAAUGGUUUUUUUUACUUUUUAAUACUUAAUAGAAAUAAAAUACUACAAAAACAAACAUCUUAAUAUUUAAUACUAUUAAGUAUUAAGGUUCUAUUUAGAAUUAAGUAAAAAAACAAACACCACCUUAGAAACACAAAGAACAAAGAGAGUAUGAAGAGACCAUACCAUGAGAGAUUUUCCGAAAGGUUGGUAAACCAUGGUAAUCACCUUUGAGUCUUGCUGAGAAAAACAAACCUUAUUUAUUUUUAUUUUUUUAUCAUUUUUUCUCUUGUGUGGUGUACAUUUAAGAAAAACAAAUCUCAAAAAAAAAAAAAAACACAAACCAAAUAAUGCCAGAAUUUGGGUUGAGAAACACCCAAAAGAUAGUGGCCCAAUACAUGUGCCUAAGAAAAUCUUCAUGAGCCGAUAAACAUAGUCACAAAACUAGUAACAGCCUUGUAGCCAUAGUUGGUGUAGUAUGAGCAAGUGGGGUAUGAAGUAGGUAGGUGAGUAUUGCAAUGAAAUUUCCAGCACUGCUUCCUGAAUUAAGAAAUCACAUACCCAAGUCUUAGUCGUCGUCGUCGUCGUACCGUGUGAGAACCGGGAAGAAUCUUUGCUCGUAGACUGGCUUUUGUAGUCUUUCUUUAACAAUUACAAGUUAUCUGAAUUCCCUUCAUCCUCCUAUAUAAUAUUGUUUUGGUCUUGUUCUUGUUGCAUUGUGGCUAGGCAUCUCCAUGGAAGGAAGGAGGAUGAAUCAAGUUCCUUUGUAUGAAUCAAUUUCUCUGCUCUUUUUUUUUUUCAAUCCUUGAAUCGAAUCAUUGCUUAGUUCUUGCUUUAAUUUCUCCAUUUUCUGUUGGGUCUUUGAUUGCAGGUUUAGCUCUGCAAGAGAACUGGGAAAUUUAAUUGUGACCUCCAAUCUAAUCGACUCUGCUUUGACUAAAAUUCUUGAGCUUCAAAGAGACCAAACAGCCUUGCUUUCCCCCGUUCAAUACAGAGUUUUUUUAUCCAUCUCCCAACUGCACAAUUGUAGCUUUUGUCUCUUCACCUGACUGCACUCAAAACCCUCUUCCUGGACAAGGAGAUUUAGUUCCCUCUCCUCUCUUUGACUUCCUCUGCACCGAAGAAUACAAGUCCGUCUCCAUUAACAGAGCUGCAUUAACCCUCUUUACCUCUCUCCACGAUCAUCUCUCUGGACUAAAAACUCAGGUCAAAAUAUGAUAGUUGUUUUUAUUUUCGUUUCCUUUUUGUUAACAAUUGUGAGACAUGAAACAGCUUGACCAUGAGAUCUCUCUCAUAGAGUCAAACUACCUGAAGAAGAAGAAGACGUUACACAUAUCCAUCUGCGUUGCAUCAUCGCAUUACCCAUUGAUCGGUUGUGAUUCAACUCUUAAUAGGAAGACAGUAGAACUGGUGUUGGUAUCUGUUUUUAGAUCAGCUUAUAUGUAUCUUGUUGCUAAAAAGGGAAUGUUUAGAAGUGAGAUUAAUGGGAUUAUUCUGACAUGGAUUUCAUAUGGUUACCUGUUUUGCAGUUGACUGUGAUUGAAGGUCAAUUAAUCAUCACUGGGCACUCCCUGGGAGGAGCCGUUGCUUCUCUCUUCACCUUAUGCCUGCUAGAUGAAAAUUUAUUAAAACCCAAAUGCCGCCCCUUUUGUAUCACCUUUGGUUCACCCCUCGUCGGCGGCUUUGGCCUCCAACACUCCAUAUGGAAUUCUUUCUUCCUGCAUGUAGUGUCUAACCAAGACCCAGUCCCCGGUCUCUUCCUCCCAUCUGGCAGAGGCAGAUCUACGCCCACAUCCUCCCAUUCACAAACUACCGGUUACAAGCCCUUUGGGACAUAUCUCUUGUGCUCUGAACUUGGUUGUGCUUGUUUUGACAACCCUGAUUUAAUUUUGGAAUUGCUGAAAGUCAUAUCAUCAGAGGUUGCCGGAGGAUUGCAGGAUGUUGAUUAUGGGGAGAUUUUAAGAAACCUCAAGGAGAGGGCAAUCUGCAAGGGACUUCCGCAGGUGGGUGAAAGGUUUGCAAAUCCAUUUUCAGCUGGGAUCAUCAUGGAACUUGAGACAAUUGGAUUUAAUCAAACAAAGGUAAACAGCUUUCUCCCAUCUAAUGAUGUUAUGGAACAUGGUUUACACCUCAUUAAAUACUGCAACAACUGCCCUAUUUAGAUUUACCUUCUUGUUCUUUGGGAUUUUCCAUAACUAGACUCAUUUUUUAAUUUCAUGGCAGCUGCUGCAGCAUAACAUUGAUAUCGAGACUGUGAUAAGCGCAAUGGAAGCGGAAGCAAGAAACCUAACCCAGAAAAAUAAAGCUUCCGAUGCCAAGAAACUGAAUGAAAUAAAAAUAGACAUGACCCGGCUAGAAUUGUAUAAGAAGAAUUCGAACAUGGGUUACUACGAUUGCUUCAAAAACCAGGGGUCUAAAAGGGACAUCCACGUUGAACAGUUUAGGGUAAACCUCACAGGGUACUGGGAAGGCAUGGUUGCACAAAUACAGAGGAAGCCUCAUAAGGAAGGAGCAACAUUUCGAACCCGUUGGCUCUAUGCAGGGACGGUUUAUAGAAGAAUGGUUGAACCACUGGACAUUGCUGCCUUCUACAGAGAGGGUAGAAAAGACUACAUGAAUAAAAGAUCUGCACAUUACAAGCUGUUGCAGGAAUGGUAUGAGGAAGAUGUGAAACCCCCCUCUAGAGAUAAGCUUGAUUCCAAGAAGCAAAAGGUGUCCAGUAUCCUAACUGAGGAUUCUUGCUUUUGGGCACAUGUGGAGGAGGCUAUCUUGUCAUGCGAAUUGCUCAAGAGUGAAAACUGUAAUCUUGAGGAGGGAAAAUCAUCAUGGGAUAAUCUGGUUAAGUUCGAGGAGUAUGUAAUGGAACAGAUUGACAACUAUGCAGUGUCCCCUGAGAUUUUCUUGGAGAAAAGCAGCUUCAUGAAAUGGAGGGGACUGUAUGAGGGCUACAUAGAUACUCGCAGUAAUUCCCAUAGCUCGCCAUUGAUCAGCUUUAUGAAGAAUCGUAGUUAUAGACAAUAUGGAUAGAGGGGUAAUCCAGUUUGUGUGUUGUGUGUAUUGUUUUGUGAGCAUUCAAUGGAUAGAACUAGAAAGAGUGUGACCUUUUCCUUUUUUUUUUCAGUUGCUGCCCAUAUUCUCAGCACUAUUUUCUUCCUUCUUUUCCUCAGUUUUUUUGUUAAGAAAUGAAUAUUAUGAUGUUGCCGGGAUGCACUUUCAUUUUUGUUCCAUUACAUUGUGUUUUAUUCAUAUCCUAAACAAAUAAAUGUAAACAAGAAAAUCAAAUGAGACUUCAAAGAGUCUGUUCCUUUUAAAGCAAGGGAAAAAAAGGACAUGUUUGUUUACUUCCACAGCUGGGUAGAUUCAACUCCACCAAAAUUGGCAACAACUUCCCAUUGAAAAAUUCCUUUUAAGCUUGAAUGACAUAAAACUAGAUAUGUUCCAGCUAGAAUGGUACAAGAAAGAAAUCAAAAGAUGAGCACAAUGGGUUAUUAUGACAGCUUUAGAAACCUGGGGUGUAAAAGAGACAUUAAAAUGGAACCGAGGGGAAGACAUUGUAGAACAAGUAAAGAGGAAGCCUCACCAGGAAGGGCAGCUUUGCAAACCCUCUGGCUCUGUACAGGAACGAAUUAUAGAAAGAUGGUUGAACCACUUGACAUUGCUGCCUACCACAGAGAGGGUGGAAGAAACUACAUAACCAAUGGAGGAUGUAAACAUUACACGCUAUUAGAGCAAUGAUGCAAUGAAGAGAAGGGGACUUUGUCUUCCAAUAAUUUAAGAAAAUAAAACCAAAUAAUGCCAGAAUUUGGGUUGAGAAACACCCAAAAGAUAGUGGCCCAAUAUGAAGUAGUCACAAAACUAGUAACAGCCUUGUGGCCAUAGUUGGUGUAGUAUGAGCAAGUGGGGUAUGAAGUAGGUAGGUGAGUAUUGCAAUGAAAUUUCCAGCACUGCUUCCUGAAUUAAGAAAUCACAUACUCAAGUCUUAAUCGUUGUCAUCAUACCGUGUGAGAACCGAGGAAGAAUCUUUGCUCUUAGACUGGAUUUUGUAGUCUUUCUUUAACAAUUACAAGUUAUCUGAAUUCCCUUCAUCCUCCUAUAUAAUAUUGUUUUUGGUCUUGUUCUUGUUGCAUUGUGGCUAGGCAUCUCCAUGGGAGGAAGGAGGAUGAAUCAAGUUCCUUUGUAUGAAUCAAUUUCUCUGCUCUUUUUUUUUUCAAUCCUUGAAUCGAAUCAUUGCUUAGUUCUUGCUUUAAUUUCUCCAUUUUCUGUUGGGUCUUUGAUUGCAGGUUUAGCUCUGCAAGAAAACUGGGAAAUUUAAUUGUGACCUCCAAUCUAAUCGACUCUGCUUUGACUAAAAUUCUUGAGCUUCAAAGAGACCAAACAGCCUUGCCUUCCCCCGUUCAAUACAGAGUUUUUUAUCCAUCUCCCAACUGCACAAUUGUAGCUUUUGUCUCUUCACCUGACUGCACUCAAAACCCUCUUCCUGGACAAGGAGAUUUAGUUCCCUCUCCUCUCUUUGACUUCCUCUGCACCGAAGAAUACAAGUCCGUCUCCAUUAACAGAGCUGCAUUAACCCUCUUUACCUCUCUCCACGAUCAUCUCUCUGGACUAAAAACUCAGGUCAAAAUAUGAUAGUUGUUUUUAUUUUCGUUUCCUUUUUGUUAACAAUUGGGAGACAUGAAACAGCUUGACCAUGAGAUCUCUCUCAUAGAGUCAAACUACCUGAAGAAGAAGAAGACGUUACACAUAUCCAUCUGCGCUGCAUCAUCGCAUUACCCAUUGAUCGGUUGUGAUUCAACUCUUAAUAGGAAGACAGUAGAACUGGUGUUGGUAUCUGUUUUUAGAUCAGCUUAUAUGUAUCUUGUUGCUAAAAAGGGAAUGUUUAGAAGUGAGAUUAAUGGGAUUAUUCUGACAUGGAUUUCAUAUGGUUACCUGUUUUGCAGUUGACUGUGAUUGAAGGUCGAUUAAUCAUUACUGGGUACUCGAUGGGAGGAUCCGUUGCUUCUCUCUUCACCUUAUGCCUGUUAGAAGUCAUCAAUUUAUCAAAACCCAAAUGCCGCCCCAUUUGUAUCACCUUUGGUUCACCCCUCAUAGGCGACUUUGGCCUCCAACACUCCAAUUGGAAUUCUUUCUUCUUGCAUGUAGUGUCCAACCAAGAUCUAGUCCCCGGACUCUUCCUCCCAUCCGACAGAUCUCCUCCCACAUCCUCCCAUUCACAAACUACUGGUUACAAGCCCUUUGGGACAUAUCUCUUGUGCUCUGAACUUGGUUGUGCUUGUUUUGACAACUCUGAUUUAAUUUUGGAAUUGCUGAAAGUCAUAUCAUCAGAGGUUGCCAGAGGAUUGCGGGAUGUUGAUUACAGGAAGAUUUUAAGAAACCUCAAGGAGAGGGCAAUCUGCAAGGGACUUCCGCAGGUGGGUGAAAGGUUUGCAAAUCCAUUUUCAGCUGGGAUCAUCAUGGAACUUGAGACGAUUGGAUUUAAUGAAACAAAGGUAAACAGCUUUCUCCCAUCUACUGAUGUUAUGGAACAUGGUUUACACAUCAUUAAAUACUGCAACAACUGCCCUAUUUAGAUUUAGGGCAAUGAUGAAAAUAUCAGUAAUCACGGAUAUAUCAGUAUUUCGAUUUUACGGAUAUAUCGGAUAUAUCGGAGAUAUAUCGGUAGAUAUUUUGAAAAAAAAUAUCGGCAAGCUUAAAAUUGUUAAAAACUCAUGAAAAUAUAAGAAAAUCUCAUAAUAAUAUAAUUAAAAGUAUAAUAGACAUUUUAAAGUUAUUUUAUUGAAAAUUUUGAUAUAUGUAUAACAUGAUUUAUCAUAUUUGAUAAUAAUAUCGUAUGCGUCGAUAAAAAUAUGAAUUUUAUAAGUGUACAUUUAUUAUUAAAUUACACCUAAUAUUAUGAUAUCUGAUUAUAAUAUGUCUAAUUUUAAAAUAUAUAUUAGUAUUAAAAUAUGAUCCAUUUAAUUCAAUUGUAUUAAACAAUAUAAAAUAAAUAAUGAUAUAUAUAUAUAUAUAUAUAAUUUUUUAAUAUUUAAUUAAUUAUUAAUGAUAUUAAAAACAUUAUGAAGAAAAUUAUAUAAUUUUUUAAUUUUUGGUAAUUAAUUAAAAGACUUUGCAUUUAAUUAUAAAUUAAUUAUAAUUAAUUUACUCUUUAAAAUAUUCUUAUAUUUUCUUUAUAUAAUGAAUUUAAGUAUAUAUAUAGUUGUUGCAUAUUAUAUAUUAAAGGACAACUUAGCCCAAGUGGUAAGCGAGUGAACCCCAAUGUGAGGCAUUGUAGCACGUGCACUGUAGCAUCACUGUAGCGACUCUGACUUUCGUUGACCCGCAUUGACUACACGAUAUAUCGGAGAAAAAUCACUGAUUUAUCGCCAAAUCACCAAUAAAUCGCCGAUUUCUCGCGAUAAAUACCAAAAUAUAGUGUCGAAACCCUUCGAUACACGAUUUUUCGGCGCAUUUUCUUACUUGGAUUUACCUUUUUGUUCUUUGGGAUCUUCCAUGACUCAUUUUUUAAUGCCAUUUUAUUUUCCUUUUUGUUUCUAAAUUUUUAAAAAAUCGUUUUCACUUCUUUUUUUUAAGAAAAUUUUGGCAAAUUUUGAAAAUAUAAUAUUAGUGUUUUCACUUCUUUCUUUUUUUUUUUUUUCUUUUUUUUUUUAAACUCAAUUUUCUAAAAAAUGAAAAUAGAAAAACAUUGUCUAAACAUGUUUGUAAACUUAAUUUUAUUUUUUUAUAAAUGAAAAAAAAAAUCUAAAUGAGUAAGGCUUUAUUAAUUUUAAUUUUUUUCUUUUCCUUAUAUUUUCUUAUUUUAUUCCAAAUUUUCUUGCAACCAAACAUAAUCUAAAUGUUUACAACUUUUAUUGUAAGGAAUGAAUGACACUACUUUGUGAACUUUUAUGAUAAUAUUUUGAAUCAUAAAUUGUGUUUUUUUUAGUAAUAUCAAUUUUAUUACCAAUGACUUAAUUGUUAAUAACAAAAUAUAAUAUUUAUAAAUAUUUUUAUUCUCAACAGGCUACAAUUUUUACUCUUGUGAUAAAAAAAAUUUUGUCAUAAAUUACACAUUAUGAUGAGUUUUUCUAUUUUCCUUAUCAGCCAAUUCAACAAAUAUCAUAUAUAUUGUAAUGGCUAACAAAUUUUCACAUAAAUUUUUUAUAAGAUAAAGUAGAAUGGAAUUAUUCAAUUUCAAAAAAAAAAAAAAUGGUACCUAAUGAAAAAGAUAAAAUAUAUAGAUCAUCUCGAAGAAAUCAGGAAAGAUAAAUGAUGAGACCAUAUAUAGGACCCUUGAUGGAGACUAUUUUAAUUGAAGUGGUGUGCUCCUUCCGACUCAGAACAUGUUCAGCAUUGCACACAAACUAACAUCGUCGAUCUUGAGUAUGAAAAAGGUGAUUAGAUUCCAAGGUUGUCGUUUGUCCCAACUCCUCAUAUUAGAGGUGAUGCUCAAGCUAACGUGCCUCGCAGUUGAGCCCCGGCCAAUCGGUCUAAUAUGCUUUUCCAAUGGUGAGUUUCACUGCCACCAUGUAUUACAUUAAUUCCGAUAGCGCACAAGUUGUGUUUGUGCUAUUGCUUUUUGCCCUCACAAACAUAUACACAAGAGACAUUCAGACCAGAUCUGUUCUACCAUCCUCUAGGAAAGCAUUGUAGGUCAUUUGAAAUUGGGAUUUCAGCACCAGAGUCAAAUUGCCUUCCUUCCUGAAAGAUGAGCAUUUUUUAUACUCUUACAUCGGCUUUUAUGGAAAUGAAAUCAGCUUCUCAUUCUGUUACAUUUUUCAAUUUUGCUGCCUAUAACUGCUCACUGCCUGUUUGUGAGACAUUAUCCAGAUUUUCCCUGAUCAAUUAUAGAGAGGUCAUUGGACUCAUCCAUGAUUGGAAUUUCCUGUUAUCAUUAUUUGCAAAUCAUCAACCAUUUGUCAUGAUAUCUUAAGUUAAGCUGAGCACGAAUUUCAGCUAAGAUCCUCAGAACUAGAAAUAUGCACUGCAGGUAUUACUUGAUAUGUGAAUAUCCAAUACAAUAUUUUUUUACUAAGAGGAAUACGAAUUUGAAACACUUUCCAAUAAUUUAUCAAGUCAUAUUUUCGUGCUGUCGUGAUACAUGUGUCUACUGUAUGCAUGGCUUUUCUUUUCUACACAUGCCUUUAUCUUUGCACAUGACUCUUUUGAUACACGCCAGCAUCAAGGCAAUUGCCUAAAUCUAAAUCACAUCCUUUGUGUCACGUCUUCCUUGUUACCACGGUCCUCUUGUACACCAUGGUCCCUUAAUGUAACUUGUGCCACAAGCCCUUUGUGCAUGAAUUCAAAUUGUUCAAUCAUUUCGCCAUUUACACCUUUUAAGGUCCAAUAAGCGUAUACAAGAGACUACACUCAUUCUAGAUGAUAAAGUACAUUCAACUAACUACUCUUGCUAAUGAGCAUAUCCAAGUCAAUACAUAAGAUUAAUUAUUACAUAUGGUAAUUGAAACCCUGUUUAAAUAAAUAGUGACACAAAUAUAAAAAAUAUAUAUAUUUAAAAAUAAAUAAAUAACAAUUUAGAGAAUUUCAUAACUUAGUAUCAAACCUAUUGUAGGAAAGAGUAUUAUACAAUGUAGGGUUUAGGAUCAAAGUUAACCUAAGAUCAAUUUUAAGUUUUAAGACCAAUUCAAAUUCAAAACUAAGGUUUUAAGUUUCAAAAAUAUAUCUCUUAAACCAAUUAAAUAGAAAAAAGAAAAUUACAAAGAAAAUUUCUUCCUCAUCGGUUUCUUUUAUCUUGAAAACUAAAGGAAAUAUAUAUCAAUAUUUGAGAUGGAAAUUCAUAAUCUUAGAAACACAAAGAACAAAGAGAGUAUGAAGAGACCAUACCAUGAGAGAUUUUCCAAAAGGUUGGUAAACCAUGGUAAUCACCUUUGAGUUUUGCUGAGAAAAACAAACCUUAAUUUUUAUUUUUAUUUUUUUAUCAUUUUUUCUCUUGUGGUGUACAUUUAAGAAAAACAAAUCUUAAAAAAAAAAAAAAAAAAACCAAAUAAUGCCAGAAUUUGGGUUGAGAAACACCCAAAAGAUAGUGGCCCAAUACAUGUGCCUAAGAAAAUCUUCAUGAGCCGAUAAACAUAGUCACAAAACUAGUAACAGCCUUGUAGCCAUAGUUGGUGUAGUAUGAGCAAGUGGGGUAUGAAGUAGGUAGGUGAGUAUUGCAAUGAAAUUUCCAGCACUGCUUCCUGAAUUAAGAAAUCACAUACCCAAGUCUUAGUCGUCGUCGUCGUACCGUGUGAGAACCGGGAAGAAUCUUUGCUCGUAGAGUGGCUUUUGUAGUCUUUCUUUAACAAUUACAAGUUAUCUGAAUUCCCUUCAUCCUCCUAUAUAAUAUUGUUUUUGGUCUUGUUCUUGUUGCAUUGUGGCUAGGCAUCUCCAUGGAAGGAAGGAGGAUGAAUCAAGUUCCUUUGUAUGAAUCAAUUUCUCUGCUCUUUUUCUUUUCAAUCCGUGAAUCGAAUCAUUGCUUAGUUCUUGCUUUAAUUUCUCCAUUUUCUGUUGGGUCUUUGACUGCAGGUUUAGCUCUGCAAGAGAACUGGGAAAUUUAAUGGUGACCUCCAAUCUAAUCGACUCUGCUUUGACUAAAAUUCUUGAGCUUCAAAGAGACCAAACAGCCUUGCUUUCCUCCGUUCAAUACAGAGUUUUUUAUCCAUCUCCCAAGUGCACAAUUGUAGCUUUUGUCUCUUCACCUGACUGCACUCAAAACCCUCUUCCUGGACAAGGAGAUUUAGUUCCGUCUCCUCUCUUUGACUUCCUCUGCACCGAAGAAUACAAGUCCGUCUCCAUUAACAGAGCUGCAUUAACCCUCUUUACCUCUUUCCACGAUCAUCUCUCUGGACUAAAAACUCAGGUCAAAAUAUGAUAGUUGUUUUUAUUUUCGUUUCCUUUUUGUUAACAAUUGUGAGACAUGAAACAGCUUGACCAUGAGAUCUCUCUCAUAGAGUCAAACUACCUGAAGAAGAAGAAGACGUUACACAUAUCCAUCUGCGUUGCAUCAUCGCAUUACCCAUUGAUCGGUUGUGAUUCAACUCUUAAUAGGAAGACAGUAGAACUGGUGUUGGUAUCUGUUUUUAGAUCAGCUUAUAUGUAUCUUGUUUCUAAAAAAGGUAAGUUUAGAAGUGAGAUUAAUGGGAUUAUUCUGACAUGGAUUCCAUAUGGUUACCUGUUUUGCAGUUGACUCAGAUUGAAGGUCAAUUAAUCAUCACUGGGCACUCCCUGGGAGGAUCCGUUGCUUCUCUCUUCACCUUAUGCCUGCUAGAUGGAAAUUUAUUAAAACCCAACUGCCGCCCCUUUUGUAUCACCUUUGGUUCACCCCUCAUCGGCGGCUUUGGCCUCCAACACUCCAUAUGGAAUUCUUUCUUCCUGCAUGUAGUGUCUAACCAAGACCCAGUCCCCGGUCUCUUCCUCCCAUCUGGCAGAGGCAGAUCUACGCCCACAUCCUCCCAUUCACAAACUACCGGUUACAAGCCCUUUGGGACAUAUCUCUUGUGCUCUGAACUUGGUUGUGCUUGUUUGGAAAAGCCUGAUUUAAUUUUGGGAUUGCUGAAAGUCAGAUCAUCCGAGGUUGCCGGAGGAUUGCAGGAUGUUGAUUAUGGGGAGAUUUUAAGAAACCUCAAGGAGAGGGCAAUCUGCAAGGGACUUCAGCAGGUGGGUGAAAGGUUUGCAGAUCCUUUUACAGCUGGGAUCAUCAUGGACCUUGAGAUAAUUGGAUUUGAUCAAACAAAGGUAAACAGCUAGCUUUCUCCCAUCUAAUGAUGUUAUGAAACAUGGUUUACACUUCACCAAAUACUGCAACAACUGCCCUAUUUAGAUUUGCCGUCUUGUUCUUUGGGAUCUUCCAUAACUAGACUCAUUUUUUAAUUUCAUGGCAGCUGCUGCAGCAUAACAUUGAUAUCGAGACUGUGAUAAGCACAAUGGAAGAGGAAGCCAGAAACCCAACCAAAAAAAAUAAAGCUUUCGAUGCCAAGAUUCUGAAUCACAAAAAAAAAGACAUGGCCGGGCUAGAAUGGUAUAAGAAGAAAUCAAAAGAUCUGAACAAGGGUUACUACGACUGCUUCAAAAACCAGGGGUCAAAAAGGGACAUUAAAAUUGAACAGUAUGGGGGACACCUCACAUUAUACUGGAAAGACAUGGUUGCACAAGUACAGAGGAAGCCCCAGAAGGAAGGAGCAACAUUUCGAACCCGUUGGCUCUAUGCAGGGACGGUUUAUAGAAGAAUGGUUGAACCACUGGACAUUGCUGCCUUCUACGUAGAGGGUGGAACAGACUACAUGAAGAAUGAAAGAUCUCUUCAUUACAAGCUGUUGCAGCAAUGGUAUGAGGAAGAUGUGAAACCCCCCUCUAAGGAUAAGCUUGAUUCCAAGAAGCAAAAGGUGUCUGGUAUCCUAACUGAGGAUUCUUGCUUUUGGGCACAUGUGGAGGAGGCUAUCUUGUCAUGCGAAUUGCUUAAGAGUGAAAACUGUACUCUUGAGCAGGAAAAAUCAUCAUGGGAUAAUCUGGUUAAGUUCGAGGAGUAUGUAAUGGAACAGAUUAACAACUAUGCAGUGUCCCCUGAGAUUUUCUUGGGGGAAAGCAGCUUCAUGAAAUGGUGGGGACUGUAUGAGGGCUACAUAUAUGCUCGCAGUAAUUCCCAUAGGUCACCAUUGAUCAGCUUUAUGAAGAACGGUAGUUAUACAGAGUAUCGUUAGAGGGGUAAUCCAGUUUGUGUGUUGUGUGUAUUGUUUUGUGAGCAUUCAAUGGAUAGAACUAGAAAGAGUGUGACCUUUUUCCUUUUUUUCUUCUAGUUGCUGCCCAUAUUCUCAGCACUAUUUUCUUCCUUCUUUUCCUCAGUUUUUUCUUAAGAAAUGAAUAUUAUGAUGUUGCUGGGAUGCACUUUCAUUUUUGUUCCAUUACAUUGUGUUUUAUUCAUAUCCUAAACAAAUAAAUGUAAACAAGAAAAUCAAAUAAGACUUCAAAGAGUCUGUUCCUUUUAAAGCAAGGGAAAAAAAGGACAUGUUUGUUUACUUCCACAGCUGGGUAGAUUCAACUCCACCAAAAUUGGCAACAACUUCCCAUUGAAAAAUUCCUUCUAAGCUUGAAUGACAUAAAACUAGAUAUGUUCCAGCUAGAAUGGUACAAAAAAGAAAUCAAAAGAUGAGCACAAUGGGUUAUUAUGACAGCUUUAGAAACCAUCUUACAACACAUCCAUCAGAAUUUAGACUAUUCAUAGAAACAUUCUUAACAUGUAAAUCUACUAUUGCCAUGCACGUCAACAUAGAAUUUCUAAAAUGAUUGAAUAAAAUAAAUAAAACAAAAGAAACCCUUCCAAGAGAAUUUCAUAAUCUAAUGUCAAAUCUAUUACGAAGAUGAACAUGUAAAAUUUAAGGUUUAUAAUCAAAGUCGACUUGAAUCUGAGUUUUAAAACCAAUUUGCAGUUUUUAAGUUUGGAGACUAGAUCUCUUAAACCAAUUAAAUGUAAAAAACUAAAAAGAAAACUUCUUCAAAUUUUGAAAUGAGAAUGAGAAUGCAAUUCCUAACUAGUUUCUUCAUCAAAAAUCCCGAAAAAAAAAAAAAAAGAAGAGAGAGAGAGACCAUAGACGCCAGUGUUUGGGUUUAGAACCACCCAAGAGAGAGUAGUCCAAUAUAUGGGCUUAAGAAAAUCCUCAUGGGCCUAAGCUAAGACUAGGAACAAUCUUGUAUCCGUGGUUGGUUUAGUAUGAGCAUGUGUACUGCGAAGGAAGUAGCUGAGAAUUGCAAUGGAAUUUCCAGUACUGCUUCCUGAACGAACAAAUCGCAUACCCAAGAUUUGGUCGUCAACGCCAUGCUGGGUGAGAACCGGGGAAGCAUCUUCGCUCGUUGACGAGCUUUUGUAGUCCUUCUUUAACAAUUAUAAGGCAUCUGAAUUCCCUUCAUCCUCCCACACCAUUGUUUUUGGUCUUGUUCUUGUUGCUUUGUGACUACGCAUCUCCAUGGAAGGAAGGAGGAUGAACCAAGUUCCUUUGUAUGCAUCAAUUUUACUGUUUUUUUUUUCCUUUUUAAUCUUUGGAUCGAAUCAUUGCUUAGUUCUUGCUUAAUUUCUCCAUUUUAUGUUGGGUCUUUGAUUGCAGGUUUAGCUCUGCGCGAGAACUGGGAAAUUUAAUUGUGACCUCCAAUCUAAUCGACUCUGCUUUGACUAAAAUUCUUGAGCUUCAAAGAGACCAAACAGCCUUGCCUUCCCCCGUUCAAUACAGAGUUUUUUAUCCAUCUCCCAAGUGCACAAUUGUAGCUUUUGUCUCUUCACCUGACUGCACUCAAAACCCUCUUCCUGGACAAGGAGAUUUAGUUCCCUCUCCUCUCUUUGACUUCCUCUGCACCGAAGAAUACCCUUCCGUCUCCAUUAACGGAGCCGCAUUAACCCUCUUUACCUCUCUCUACGAUCAUCUCUCUGGACUAAUAGAUGAGGUCAAAAUCUGAUACUUGUUUUAAUUUACGUUAACUUUUCGUUAACAAUUGUGAGACACGUAUAUAUAUAUAUAUAUAUAUAUAUCUUGUGGAUAAAAGGAAAGUUUACAAGUGAGAAUAGUGGCAUUUUUCUGACAGAUUUCACACCGUUGCUUGUUUUGCACUUGACUGUGAUUGAAGGUCGAUUAAUCAUCACUGGGCACUCGAUGGGAGGAUCCGUUGCUUCUCUCUUCACCUUAUGCCUGCUAGAAGUCAUUAAUAUAUCAAAACCCAAAUGCCGCCCCAUUUGCAUCACAUUUGGUUCACCCCUCAUAGGCGACUUUGGCUUCCAACACUCCAAUUGGAAUUCUUUCUUCUUGCAUGUAGUGUCCAACCAAGAUCUAGUCCCCGGACUCUUCCUCCCAUCCGGCAGAUCUCCUCCCACAUCCUCCCAUUCACAAACUACUGGUUACAAGCCCUUUGGGACAUAUCUCUUGUGCUCUGAACUUGGUUGUGCUUGUUUUGACAACCCUGAUUUAAUUUUGGAAUUGCUGAAAGUCAUAUCAUCAGAGGUUGCCGGAGGAUUGCGGGAUGUUGAUUACAGGAAGAUUUUAAUAAACCUCAAGGAGAGGGCAAUCUUCAAGGGACUUCAGCAGGUGGGUGAAAGGUUUGCAGAUCCCUUGUCAGCUGGGAUCAUCAUGGACCUUGAGAUAAUUGGAUUUGAUCAAACAAAGGUAAACAGCUUUCUCCCAAUUAAUGAUGUAGCAUGGUUUACACUCAACUUCACCAAAACCUGCAACAACUGCCCUAUUUAGAUUUGCCUUCCGGUUCUUUGGGUUCUUCUAUAACUUCUCAUUUUUUAAAUCCAUGGCAGCUGUUGCGGCACAACAUUGAUAUCAACACUGUGAUAAGGAUACUGGGAGCGGAAGCCAGAAUCCUAGCCCACAAAAAUAAAGCUUCUGAUGCCAAGAAACUGAAUGACAUAAAAAUACACAUGGCCCAGCUAGAAUGGUAUAAGAAGAAAUCAAAAGAUCUGAACAAGGGUUACUACGACUGCUUCAAAAACCAGGGGUUAAAAAGGGACAUUAAAAUUGAACAGUAUAGGGGACACCUCACAAUAUACUGGAAAGACAUGGUUGCACAAGUACAGAGGAAGCCCCAGAAGGAAGGAGCAUCAUUUCGAACCAGUUGGCUCUAUCCAGGGACAACUUAUAGAAGAAUGGUUGAACCACUGGACAUUGCUGCCUUCUACAGAGAGGGUAGAACAGACUACAUAAACAAUGGAAGAUCUCCUCAUUACAAGCUGUUGCAGCAAUGGUAUGAGGAAGAUGUGAAGCCCCCAUCCAGAGAUAAGCUCGAUUCCAAGAAACUAAAGGUGUCUGGUAUCCUAACUGAGGAUUCUUUGUUUUGGGCACAUGUGGAGGAGGCUCUCUUGUCAUGCGAAUCGCUCAAGAGUGCAAACUCUACUCUUGAGCAGAGAAAAUCAUCAUGGGAUAAUCUGGUUAAGUUUGGGGAGUAUGUAAUGGAACAGAUUGGAAACUAUGCAGUGUCCCCUGAGAUUUUCUUGGGGGAAAGCAGCUUCAUGAAAUGGUGGGGAGUGUAUGAGGACUACAUAGAUGCUUCCAAUAAUUUCUAUGGGUCACCAUUGAUCAACUUUAUGAAGGACCGUAGUUAUAGACUGUAUGGUUAGAGGGCAAUCCAGUUUGUGUAUUGUGUUUAUUGUAUUGUGAGCAUUCAAUAGAUAAAACUAGAAAGAGCGUGACCUUUUUAUGACAACUUUAGAAACCAGGGGUUAAAAGAGACAUUACAAAUUGAAUUUUUUGAGAGGAAACCUCAAGAGUAUACUGGGAAGCCAUGGUGGAACAAGUAGAGAGGAAGCUUCGGAAGGAAGGAUCAAUGGUUGAACCACUUGACAUUGUUGCCUACUUCAGGGAGGGUGUAAGAAACAACAUAACCGAGGGAAGAUCUGAACAUUAAACAUUGUACAAUUAUUGUAAAUGUCUUAUACAUUACGUGUGAAAAUACCAAAAAAAAUUAUAUUCAACAUUUAUGUUUGUAUACAAGCAAUAUUUUGGAUAGUUUGAUAUAAAAAACAAAUGAAG
rnacentral:lncRNA from 1 species